UCAAAGAGUGCGUAAUAGCUCACUGGCCGAGGGAUCUGGCCCCGAAGAGUUCCGGGGCUAAAACUUACUACCGAAGUUCCGGCAUCAGUAAUGACGGGUAGGGGAGCUGCCCAUACGGGUUGAAGCAGGACCGUAAGGACAUGUGGACAGUAUGGGAGUGAGAAUGUUGGCAUGAGUAGCGAGAUGUGGGUGAGAAUCCCACAGGCCGUAAACCCAAGGUUUCCAGGGGAAGGUUCGUCCGCCCUGGGUUAGUCGGGACCUAAGCUGAGGCCGAAAGGCGUAGGUGAUGGACAACAGGUUGAUAUUCCUGUACUACCGAU
rnacentral:rRNA from 1 species